rnacentral:rRNA from 1 species
AGUAACACGUAUCCAACCUGCCGACAACACUGGGAUAGCCUUUCGAAAGAAAGAUUAAUACCGGAUGGCAUAAUUAUUCCGCAUGGGAUAAUUAUUAAAGAAUUUCGGUUGUCGAUGGGGAUGCGUUCCAUUAGGCAGUUGGCGGGGUAACGGCCCACCAAACCUACGAUGGAUAGGGGUUCUGAGAGGAAGGUCCCCCACAUUGGAACUGAGACACGGUCCAAACUCCUACGGGAGGCAGCAGUGAGGAAUAUUGGUCAAUGGACGAGAGUCUGAACCAGCCAAGUAGCGUGAAGGAUGACUGCCCUAUGGGUUGUAAACUUCUUUUAUACGGGAAUAAAGUUAGCCACGUGUGGCUUUUUGUAUGUACCGUAUGAAUAAGGAUCGGCUAACUCCGUGCCAGCAGCCGCGGUAAUACGGAGGAUCCGAGCGUUAUCCGGAUUUAUUGGGUUUAAAGGGAGCGUAGGCGGGUUGUUAAGUCAGUUGUGAAUGUUUGCGGCUCAACCGUAAAAUUGCAGUUGAUACUGGCGACCUUGAGUGCA